rnacentral:rRNA from 1 species
GAUGAACGCUGGCGGCGUGCUUAACACAUGCAAGUCGAACGAAGCAUUUGCGACAGAUUUUUUCGGAAUGAAGUUGCUUAUGACUGAGUGGCGGACGGGUGAGUAACGCGUGGGUAACCUGCCUUGUACUGGGGGAUAGCAGCUGGAAACGGCUGGUAAUACCGCAUAAGCGCACAAUGUUGCAUGACAUGGUGUGAAAAACUCCGGUGGUAUAAGAUGGACCCGCGUCUGAUUAGCUAGUUGGUGAGAUAACAGCCCACCAAGGCGACGAUCAGUAGCCGACCUGAGAGGGUGACCGGCCACAUUGGGACUGAGACACGGCCCAGACUCCUACGGGAGGCAGCAGUGGGGAAUAUUGCACAAUGGAGGAAACUCUAAUGCAGCGACGCCGCGUGAGUGAAGAAGUAAUUCGUUAUGUAAAGCUCUAUCAGCAGGGAAGAUAGUGACGGUACCUGACUAAGAAGCUCCGGCUAAAUACGUG